GAGAGGGCACAACACAGAAACUGCUAAGUUCUGACCCUGGGGUAAAAAUCCCCAGACCUCUCA
rnacentral:tRNA from 1 species